GCGGAGGUAGUGAAGCGGUCAAACACGCUACCUUGAGGGGGUAGUCCCUUAGUGGGUUCGGAGGUUCAAAUCCUCUCCUCCGCA
rnacentral:tRNA from 1 species